rnacentral:misc_RNA from 1 species
AGAGAGAGAGAGAGAGAGCUCAUUAGGCAUUUAGGCGAUAUAAGCAAAAGUUAGAGAAAAAGUAAAAAAAUAAUAGUGUUCUCUAAUAAAGGGCAGUCUAGGCAAAAGUUAGAGCAAAAAAGCCUGUUAGGCUAGGAGUUUUUGAAAUGGGUUUGAGGUGAGAAAGACGGAGUUGGGUUGCCUUUUAAACCCAGACCUCGGCAUGCGUGCACAUUUGAGGACCUACGCAUAACAGUAACCCACUUGUGCAUGCAGAUCCUGGCAAGGCAGGGUAAAGGCCAAAUUUCAAGUAGUCUUGGGUAUUUUGUUGUUAAUUAUGUAUGUAUUCAGUUGCUAAUGAUGUAUUUUCACAUAUGUACUUAAAAAAAAAAGAAAAAAGCAAACCAUUCUAUCACUUGUAUGAAGUUUCAUUAUUCCAAAAUUAUCCGGAAACAAAAUAACACGUGCAGCAAUGUAGCAAAAAAAUAAAUACUAUGCAAAAAAUCUCGAAGUAAAAUCUAUACUCAACAAAACCAAAUGUUUUAAAAGUUCAGGAGAAGGAAAAAGCAAUUAUGGCUCAGGAGCUCUGGGUCACCUCAUCAUCACUCUCAAAGAACUCUGUGUGUAGGACUAACAUAUGACUUGUAGGUUUACGGACAUGUCCAACAAAAACUCAUAUCCUAAUUUGUCUUUUGGACUGGCAGCACUUGAUGUGGUGGCUUCCCUCAUCUGUGCUCUCCCACCUCGAACUGACGGACCUCCACUAGUGGUCCUCACCAUCUACACCCGAAGAUCUACACGCUCUUUCUCUCGAAGCUCUAGUGUCUGUUGGGUUUCCUAUAACUGGCGCCUAUUGUCAUCCAAAGCAUGCCUGUUAUCCUCCAAAGUAGUUUGUACAACAAACAAAUGUUCACUGUGAGUAAAAUCAUGCAUACAUGCAUAAUUAUAUAAAUUGUACUUAUCUACAAUGUAGUUGUACUUGAGUGGAUGGACUCAUUUGCAGAAGAGCAUGCCUGUAAUAGUACUUGCCAGUCUCGCAAGGGAUCUAUACUAGAAUGGACAUAAUCAACAAGUGUACCAAGCAACAAUGAAAUAUGGGAAACUAGAAAGUAGUUCAAAAAUACUCACAUGAGUCAUAUCAUCGCUAGAGAAGGCUAUAGGGUCGGAUGGGCUGAUCUAGAGGUGAAGCUGCGAGAAAUGCCCCUAGACAUUGUGAGCGAAGAUGCAUGUAUCCUGCCUGGAAUAGAGGUCACCAAGCACCACAUUAGCUGCUGAUCCGCUAGCACCCCUCUUCUUCUUUCCCUUAUUGUGGGUGGUCUGCUGUAAUUAGAAAAAUAAAAAGAACAGUCAAUGUCAAAAUGAAAAGGACAAUGAGAAAAAUUAAUAGAGAGAUACUCACAGAACUAGAGGCUCUAUGAACAGGGCUAGUAGGUUUGGGUGAAUCAGGUCCUCAGGAGCAUGAAUGGCUACUAAUCUCCUCACAAUGAAUCGCUCCACGAAGGUGGUGUAGUCUCCACCAUCAGCAGCUAACAAUGCUCCAAAAUCAGUCCCCUCUCGAGCCUCUGCAGAAGCGUAUUGUGUAAGGAGAUGCUUGAAAUACAUGUCCAAAUGCGGGUCCAAUGGUACUUUCCUUUCCUGCAUGCCACGGUACCAAUGGUGGAUGCGCUCGUCCAAAUACCAAACCUGCGACUGGGUAUAAGUGAAUGCGACCCUCAUUUGAGCUGGCCAUGCACCAAGAGCCUAAAGCUAGUAUCCCCUAUCAAUAUGAACAGAUGAAGCAAUAAAAAGGGGAAUUAGAUAUAGAAAGAAUAGUAACAACUUAUGUAACACCCCUCACCCGUCUACA